UCGAGGGGCAUCAGCUUAUGCAAUAUAGGGCUGGCGANNNNNAAACGGGUGCGGAACACGUACACAACCUUCCUUUAAGAGGGGGAUAGCCCAUAGAAAUGUGGAUUAAUACCCCGUAAGAUAGUGGGAUGGCAUCAUACUACUAUUAUAGUUACGACGCUUGAAGAUGGGUGUGCGUCUGAUUAGGUAGUUGGCGGGGUAAAGGCCCACCAAGCCUUCGAUCAGUAGCUGAUGUGAGAGCAUGAUCAGCCACACGGGCACUGAGACACGGGCCCGACUCCUACGGGAGGCAGCAGUAAGGAAUAUUGGUCAAUGGACGCAAGUCUGAACCAGCCAUGCCGCGUGAAGGAUGAAGGUCCUCUGGAUUGUAAACUUCUUUUAUAGGGGGCGAAAAAAGGGAAAUCUUUCUCACUUGACAGUACCCUAUGAAUAAGCACCGGCUAACUCCGUGCCAGCAGCCGCGGUAAUACGGAGGGUGCAAGCGUUAUCCGGAUUCACUGGGUUUAAAGGGUGCGUAGGCGGGCGUAUAAGUCAGUGGUGAAAUCCUGGAGCUUAACUCCAGAACUGCCAUUGAUACUAUAUGUCUUGAAUAUGGUGGAGGUAAGCGGAAUAUGUCAUGUAGCGGUGAAAUGCAUAGAUAUGACAUAGAACACCUAUUGCGAAGGCAGCUUACUACGCCUAUNNNGACGCUGAGGCACGAAAGCGUGGGGANNNNNCAGGAUUANNNNNNNUNNNNNU
rnacentral:rRNA from 1 species